GGAUGUACCCGCGUCUGAUUAGCUAGUUGGUAAGGUACCGGCUUACCAAGGCGACGAUAAGUAGCCGACCUGAGAGGGUGAUCGGCCACAUUGGAACGGAGACACGGUCCAAACUCCGACGGGAGGCAGCAGUGGGGAAUAUUGCACAAUGGGCGAAAGCCGGUUGCAGCAACGCCCCGUGAGUGAUGAAGACCUUCGGGUCGUAAAACCCUGUCCCAAAGGAAGAUAAUGAGCGUCCUUGAGGAGGAAGCCACGGCUCAACACGUGCCAGUAACCGCGCUCAUACUAAGGGGGCGAGCGUAAUCCGAAUUUACCUGGUGGACAGGUUGCAUAGACGACCUUUCCAGUCAGGGGUGAACGGCUCCGGCCAAACCCAGGUCGGCUAGUGAAACUGGGAGCUGUCAACAGGGCACAGGCGCGGGGAAUGCCUG
rnacentral:rRNA from 1 species